CCACACUCUAAUCGUAUUAUGCAAUGGAGCCUUCCACUUGGCCGGCACCAUGUUUUCUGCUCCCUACUGCACAAGUGGCUGGCAAAGAGAAGGGAAGAUGAAGCCACCAUUUUGAUCAUGCCUAGUCUCAGUUGCUGGCCUGGAGCAUGCUCGGCUGAGGACCGCUGCUCUGAUGCGUGGAGAAGAAACAUGAAGUCCGCAGCUGCCCACAUUCAGGGAAGAUCUUUGAAAGCUCUUCAGACAGUGCCACCCAUCUUCAUGAAGCUGAUCCCCGGAUCUCACUCGCUUGUUUCUCCUCCUUCACCUGCUGAUGAUCAAUGUAGACUUUAGCCCUCAGAAGCUCUCAAAAGGUGGAGUCUUGCUCUGUCACCCAGGCUGGAGUGCAAGGGCGCGAUCUCAGCUCACUGCAAGCUCCGCCUCCCAGGUUCACGCCAUUCUCCUGCCUCAGCCACCCGAGUAGCUGGGACUACAGGGGCCCACCACCACGCCUGGCUAAUUUUUUUGUAUUUUUAGUAGAGACAGGGUUUCACCGUGUUAGCCAGGAUGGUCUCGAUAUCCUGACCUUGUGAUCCACCUUCCUCGGCCUCCCAAAGUGCUGGGAUUACAGGCGUGAGCCACUGAGCCCGGACAAUUUUCUCUUUUCUAAAGUUAAAUAAACAAGUUAGUUUAUUUUAUAAAUCGUGUUGCCUCCUGAGAAUCCCAUCCUUAGCUCAAACCAUGUUCUUUUCACUUCCCAAUGAUGAAGGUAACGAGAGAGCAUUGAGUAUUCUCCCCUU
rnacentral:lncRNA from 1 species